UUUCUUUGUAUUAUGUGUCAGCUGUGGCUCCAGGACCUCAAUGCUAGUCCAGCAUAUAUUCUGGUCCAUGACUGUUGUGUAAAACCCAAGGCAGAGUUCGGUUUCCUGCCAACUCUUCUCCAGAAAGCUGUGAUUAUUAGAAAUAGCAAUGUUGAUUUCUGGUACAAAAAGAAGCUUGUGAUUUCCUCACUUCUAUAAAAUAACUUUCUGAACCAAAGAACAUGUGCACGUCUCCAAAGACUCCCCUAUUACAGUGUGAAUGUCAGCUGCUCCUUCCCAAGUGAGACCGGGUGGUUUUUCCCAUCAUCUGUAUAUACAGCUGAGUUACUUUCUGGUCCCUUCCCUGGCCCUUUUCUCCUCUACAGUCCUAAUCCAUUCCAACUAUCCUGUGGCCUCAAAUUAAUAAGAAAUUUUUCUUAACUUUUUCUAUCAUAAUUAUUUCUCUCAUUUUUUUUCUGACGGGGGUAGCAGUGAUAUUAUCCCAGUGAACACAUAUGCACCCAUGGAAAUAUCCUCUAAGGAGCGUCCUAUUUCUGUCUGGUAAACAAUGAGGAGACACAGUGCUGACUUUUCUGCACCUUAGUUAUCCAGUCAUCCAUUGACCCUUCAGGCCAAGCCAGAGCCCCUGUAUAAGGAAGACUGGGAGAAGGUACUGGGCCAGUUUGCCGGUAGAAGUUGGAGGGUGUGUGCUGAACACCAUGAAAGUGGAAGUAGCCAUGUAGGGUGGGUGUUUUGUGUGCCAGCCAACACCAUUCAGAGAAAUCUGUUUAGGUUCCAGGGCCAUUACUUUUUACCUUUUCUCAAGAUCAACCAACAUCCUCAAGGGCACUGUUUUUCAAACUAUAAGUCUUGACCCAUUAGUGGUCCAUGAAAUCAAUUUAACAGCUCAAGCCCUGAGUAUUUCAAAAGUGGAAUAGAAAAGAAGAGAGCUGUGCAUGGAGCAAGAUCAAACAUUGUUAAAUACUCUAUAUACUGUGUAUACUAGGUCACAAUAUAAAAUGUUAUUUCCUAUUGUGAAUUGCAGUUUAAAGAAACACAAAACUAAAACAAAAAUGAAAACCUUGAGGCCAUUGCAAGUGGAAGUGCAGGCUGGCCAGUGAUUGUUGAAACAUUUGGACUGUGUGGAGCCUGACCUCAGAUAGGCUCAGAGAGCCACCACUCAGGGAGUCUGCAGAUUGUGAGCGCUCUUGAUCUCUAGAGUGAGAAUAUGGGAUAGCUCUUGUUUUGGUUUAUAAAAUGUUUUCCUUUCAUGGUGUGUAAAACCAGGCAUCAGUGGGACCAGAAAAAGAAUAGAAAAGUUCGAUCCACAAACAGUGCCCCAAAAGGCCACAGGAUAUUAACUUGAUGCAUUUCAGCCUGCCUCCUACUAAGCAUUUUGCUAGGAGUGGAGACAGAGGUUCUUCUUUGAAUUUGCUUCAACUACCUUCUCUCGGAUUCAUCAUGCAGGUAGCAAAGGCCCUUAAAAAUAGGGAGCUAGUAUACAUAGGCUACAUUCUUCCGGGGCCAAACUGCUCAUUCAUUGGAGGGUGCUAUAAAAAUGCCAAUGCAAUUUAGCUGAAAAUAAUUAGAUUUCCUCAUUUCUGUGGGAUUCAAGUAGGAAAUGUAGCUAACCUGCAUUCCUUAUGCAGUAUUCAAUACACAAUUUAUUCAUCCUGAUUUUCUUCGGUGCUACCCUGUUUAUCACUUAAAGCUCCUUUCCAUAUUCUUAAGGGAAGCAUUUACCCUCUUGGCCUCACCUUUGAAAUGAUGCCUUCCUGCUAAUGCUAACCUAAUCAAGUGGGCAUUAAUCUGUUAAAUUUCUUAUGGUUCUUGUUAUCUACAUUUUUGAUAAUUGGCUGUUAGUGCAGCUAUUAGUGCAGAUUUCCCCCCCCCCGUACUUUUCUGCCACAAUUGGUAUAAAGUAGUACUUGUUUCAGGGCUCUCCUUCAAGCAGCUCAGCACACGUACUGAGAAGAUACUGGGUCUUAUGUGAUUUGUUGCCCUUGAGUUGGCUCUGACUCCUGGCGACUCUGAAUGAGUGAUGUCCACAGUGUCCUGUCCUCGGCAGCCCUGCUCAGCUCCUGUAGACUCCUGCCUAUGGCUUCUUUUAUGCAGUCAAUCCACCUACUUGUUCUUCCUCUUUUCCUGCUGCCUUCUGUUUUCCCCAGCAUCAUUGUUUUUUCCAAAGAAUCCUGCCUUCUCAUGAUGUGCCCAAAGUAGGACAGUCCUACACUAUUACAAACCUCCUUCAUGUUUCUUUACUUGAAACAAUUUUUACUUUAUUGCCUCCUUUGUAAAAUAAAUUGUUCUAUAUUGUUUUUUUAAAGUUUUACUUUAGAAUUACAAAUUCAUUCUUUUUUAAAAAGCAUUAUGACAUUUUCCAAAAAAGAUAAUUUUGGUUACCCGAAGAGCUCUAUGAGAGGUGUAACUUCAAAUUUUAUCGAUUGUUAGGAGUGUGUUUAAAUUCUUUUUACUUUAUACAAAUACAAAUUAUAUUAUAGUUUAACACCUGCUAUGAUAGACUUAUGUCAACCUGUCACUGAGCACCAUUCAUUUAGUAUUGCUCUGCUCCCUUAAUAAUGUGUUUCUCCUAAGGGUGUCCUUGCAACAAGAAACCCUGUGUGAGUGAUAUAAUAAAAAGUCUAAUAAUCAUAACUGUACUUAAAGUAGAAAAUGUUGGAAAACCUCAACGUUUCUUAAUAUGCUAUCAUACCACCAGCAUCCCAUUGGCUACCCCAAGGUUACCAAUUUGGGGACUGAAAAACAUCCAAGUGAAAAUGUAGAUGACAUUGAAAUGGCAAUAAUUUCAUAUCCAUACUCACAAACUAUCAGAAAUUGUAUCUGGGGCUUGUUGCAAGGUCAGAUAGAUUGUCACAGACUUUUUUAAAUAGUCAUAUCUGGAUGUAAAUAUGUAUAUUACAUAUAAAAAUGAAUUUUUCAGGGAAUGUGCACUUUAAAACUUGUUAAUUUUUGUAUUAAUCAAAUAGUGCUUCUUUGGAAUGCUUAUUCUUUGGUAAAAUACAGUCAUUGAUGAUGAUAAUUUGUUUAUUAAAUGGCUCUUUCUGUAUCUGCAGUAUUUCCUUCACUCUUGUGUUCCCUAUCCCUUUUAUGUGGGCUCCUGGCCCGAUUGCCUGUUACACAGUCUCUGCUUUGCUUUUGUGCAUUCUGAUAAGAUAGUUUAUAAACACAAAUGUUUACAAUGAAGUUCUUCCUUUUGAAAUUAAUGUCCUUUUCCCCCCUUUGGUUGGCUAUGCUCACUAAUGACUAAUUUUUCUAAACAAUAAUUAUUUCUUGCUAUUGGUAGGAUUAAAUUACUUGGUCAGGUGAUUGCCCAGUUUAAUUAUGUAUAUCAUUUUUAAAUAAAUUAAGUCAAAUAAAUAUUUCUGGUUUUUCAGUCCUCCUCUGUUUUUCCUUAACUGGAUCAAACUAGAAAUAUUACCAAUAAUCUUUUCCUUGCCUACCUAAACCCUACCCUCUUUGGGGCCUAAAUAAGUGUGGACAUCUAACAGAUUGCCAAGGUCCUGAUUUUUCAGUCAAAGCCAGCGACAGCAUCCAGCCCAGCAUGAUUGUUGCUGGCUAAAAGCUUGAAAGCAUCAAGACUGUGCCUCUCAACCUCAGAAAACUUCAAAUGGCUCAUUUCCGCAAUAAGUAAUGAGUAUCUUCUGAAAGAAGGGCUAGGAGGGUAUUUUCUUCCUGCAGAAUUAACAUUGACAGAAAUAGUUAAUUCACCUUUGAUAUGGAGAGUUCAGCCUUUUCCUUAAGAAGAUUCUUCACUACCUUUGGUUACGAUUUAUUUGACAGCCCUCCUGCACUUACAAGUGAUCAAAAGCCAUCAUCUUCUUGCAUGCUUUGUCAGCCAAAGCCUCCCACUUGGAAGAGCUCCAGCAGAAUGAGAACCCAGCUGCCCUAACUGCUGAUAGAAGACUUAGUACCAUUCCGGGAACACCGACACACUGUUCCACAGCACACCUCACUAAUCUGGCCUGCAGACAGGACCCUGGAACACUGGCAGAAGCAGCCAAGGAUAAGAAGCCUGCUCUCCCGAAUCUCUGUACUGCCCCAUGGAGAGAGGACGGGAAAAAUCAUCUGCCCGUUCCUUCUCAUCAUUUAGGUAAGCAGGAAACAAUAUUUAUAUGAACUAGUCCCUUGGGUAUAGAUGUUGGUAAAGAUUUUAUUAUACACUCGUUUUCUAUUGAUCCCUCCCCUCCCAGAGAUGUUUUCUGUUAUCUCUGUCUUUUGUGUUGUUUGUCAUAAGGAGGAAAACCAUAGGCCAGAUGAGGUUUUCCUCCUGUCUUAAUCUAUGUCUUAAGAACUUGGCCUUUUGACCAGUUCAAGAAUACUCUGUGGUCUCCACCAGCCGGAAGAUGCCAGUAUGGGCUUGUCUCUAGCAGCCAACCGAAUAGGCUGGGAAUCAGACACACAACAAGGAUUGUCUUGGACUAUUGGUCUGCUCCUGAUAAAAGAUUGUGAAGGGUUUUCCACUUUUAGGAGUUUGAUAGCUUGCUAUGACGUGCACUAACCACUAGGGGGCGGCGCGGAACAUGGCAGGUGUCGGGAUGCAGCGCUGGAGGCACUGCCAGCCCCGAUGGGCCCUGACGAAAGCGGGACUGAGGCGGGAUGGUGGAUCAGGUUUAAAGAAACUUUCCUUUUCUGCUAAACUAUCUAUGACUUACAGCAAUUUGGUCUCACUUCGGGAGCCCACCUGCAACACUGCCUCCUGAAAUGAGACACAGCCAUUUAACUGAACAGACCUCUUCUCAAGAUUAAGAGACCCAUCCAAGGACACAACCUAACUAUUCAUCAGCUCAGCCUCUGGACUGUUGGUUUCCUGUGGAGGGUCAGAGGUUCAGCUGGAGGAUGGUGUCCUUGACGGCAGCGAAGACAAAGCGGAUGUUCUCCGUGUCCGUGGCGCACGUGAAGUGGGAGUAGAUGACCUUCUCCUUGUCAGGGUUCUGGUCCUGAUAGAGCUUCAGGAUAAAGUCUCUGGCGGCUUUGACGUCUUGCUUUGGUCCUGGUUCCAAGCACAGUUAGAGGGAUAAAGAAGAAAGAUGCCACUCACCACCAGGAUUGUUCACAGCGUCAGCCCUGGGACACCCAUUCUAUUGGGUGUAGCCUCCACACUUUGUGUCAGAAGUCGGGGGACAAAGAGAGGAAGACUGGCUCUUCAGCAGGGCCACCACCGUUAGAAAUGCCGGAGAGAAGGGGCCCAGCGCACAUGUGCACACGUCCCAUGCAGCCAGGACCUGGUCGUAUUCACUCAGCGCAACCAAGAAUAUGAUGGAGGUGACGCUCUCAAAGCAGUGGAUCCACUUCCGCCUUUCGGAUCGCUGGCCACCCACGUCCACCAUCCUGUCCAACAGAAACACAGGUCUCAAAGGCUGGGUUCGUGGCUCUGGAGGAGGGCGUGCUCAUUCCACCAUGGAAAUCAGUACGUCUUGGCUGCCUCUGUGAUCUUCAGGAGUGAAAAGGGGUCCUGAGACUGAAAGGUUUGAGCACCUCUGCUUUCGACAAUGAGGAACCACCAGGCGUUUCCCAGCAGGGGAGGAUGGAGUGUCAAACGGAUACUCGAUGAUGCCAGUUGUGGGUACGCGAACACGAAGCACAUCUUGCUGCGUCGGCACAUAUGACGGCAAGGCGAUCCGGUCAAUAUCAGUCAGGCUGCCCUCCUCUUUGGGAAACUGCCUCCCUUCCUUCUGCCUCUUUUCUGAAGUUCCAACACCUUAGCGGGACUCCUUGCAUUUCCUUUCCUGCUUUGCACAUAAAUGUUCCUGAGCUCAGAUCAAUUGUGCGAACCUGGAUUAAUGGAUUAAACAUUCAGCCUGGGACCAACCCCAAAGAUUUUAGGGUAAUUGGACCUUGGGUCUACUGAUCAGGAAUUCCGAAGGCAAAGAGGUGUGGAGAGGAGGAAAGUAGAAGCCAGAAGCAGAUGCAGUCCUCCUCUAAGAUCAUUUCAGCACCCCAAAUGAGAUCAGUUCCACCAAGGGAACACCACAUUUGCUUUCGCCUCAUUGAAAAGGACAGAGGCUCGGGACAUGGCUGGGACAGCAAUUGAAAAUGAUAAGAAGGUUGGCCUUCCCUCACAUGUCCACGUGCUGGUCCCGGAGACUCAGCAUCCCAUCCUCGGCUGCAGGCUGCAGCAGACCAGAGAAUUCUGCCAAGAGAGAGGAGCCGGCCCCUUCUUCACUCUCGCAUCCUGCAGAGUCUCCCAGCAAUUACAUCACGCAGAGCUGGCUAUUCACUGGCAGCUCUGAGUCAGCAGAGCAUCUGUUUGGCAGCUGUGAUCUCCUGGAGUAUAUAUGGUACCCCGGAAAGGUUGCUCUUAUCUUCCAUUGCUCAUUCUCAUUACUAGUCCAACAGGAAGCCAGAGAACAGGGAGCUCUAGAGUCACCUGCUCAGGCACGACCGAGGCUGUGAUGAAAUCAACAUGACGGCACCACAUCCAUCACAGGAGCGGGAAUAACUCACGGCUCGACUGCGGGAUGCUCGGGCAGGCAGGGUCUCCAACAAGGUCACAGCCGGAUGGCGCAGUGGAACAUGCCGGGUGGGGAAUCAGGACCCUGGGUUCUAAGUUGUGCAGUUGGACCUUUAAGGACCCCAACAAGUCAUAUGCCUCAGUGUCCUCAUCUGUAAAAGGAGCCAGUGAUUUUCAGGGGAACCUGAUUUAUAAAGUAUUACCCAAACGUAAGUAGAAUUAACCUUAGUAUUACAGCGGAUGCCUAAUAUUUCUUUUGUGCCAAACAGAUCACAUUGAUAGCCCUGAAACCACUACUUCUAACUCCACCCACUGGCACAUUUGGCAUCAUCUGCCCUGUUCUCAGCCAGAGAGAAUGACAAAUGGAGAACCUGGGCAGCAUUUAUAUGGAGCAGAGGGCUGUCUCCCACUUCCUCCCUCCGCUCUCCACCUCCCUCUCCCCAAAAGGAUCAGGUGGUCUCUUCUCACCCUCUGAAGGUCCAGUGUCUGUGCUUAGCUUUGCCCUCUAAAUUUAAAGAGUCUGUUUUCUUCUCUCUCUUCAUGACCAGUCAGGAAACGCCACAAGGGCAGAGUCAAAGUGCGACUGAUCCUUAUCUCCCAGAACCUGAGACAGUGUCUGACGAAGGACAGGUGCCCCCUAUUGAUGUAGGCGUCCAAUAAGCAUUUGUGGCGUUCAUAAAAAUAUAUCCAACAGGCAAAAUCACAAGGUAACAAUAGCAGAAGGAUGCUAGGGCAGGACGGAAGCCUCUGCCGGUCACAGUUGGGAGCUGGGGGACAGGGAGCCCAAGGGCAGGAAAGUCUCAGAGGAGGAAAUGCUCUUGGCCAAUGUCUCUCACUCUGUUAACUGCUAAGAGGCAGCACUGUGAGAAUCAUCAGGGAUGUUACAAAUACAUCUACCUCUUCUCACACAAUGUAAGAUUGUGAAGUGUAAGUGUAAGCAACAUUCGUCUCUUUUAGAAACAAACUUCAGUCACUCAGGAAGCCUGGUUAAUGGAGGGGCAGAAAACCCCUAGCACACCAGACUGCAUAUGUAGCAUGAGUGAUAAAUCGCCUUUUAUUGUGUUGAGUAAACUAAACUUCAGGGGCAGCUUAUUACUGCAGCAUAACCUACUCUAUCCUGACUGACACAUGUUGCAGUGGAUCAACCCGGCAUCUCGCUCUUCAGUAGAGAGAAAAAGUGCAUCACAGUGACAUAUCAAAGAGGAACGCAGGCUUCCACAGAGGCUGCUGCAGGAUGGAAUCUGGGAAAAGACCUAGACCUGAGCUUUCAGGUAACCAGGGAGGUCAGCCAGGAGAAGAAAACAUUCUGUCUGUUCUGCUAAGUGACAGGACUUUAGGGGAAAUCUGGCCGGAAGGAAGAGGAGAACUCAGUGUCCUUAGAAACCCAACAAUCGGACUUGGGUUUGGAACAGACUGGACUCAGAGGGCCCAGAAGUAUUCCAAGUUUGGAGAUCUCCUCCUGGUUAGCUCUCCCACCUGUCAAGAUAAUUUUUUAAAAACUUCUGAUUUUGAAAUAAUUUGACUUGCAAAAGAUGUGGGGGAAAUGGUACAAGAGUUGCUCUAUGACCUAUGCCUUUCAAGAUUGCCCAAAUACUGACUGGUUUGGCUCAGUGGAUAGAGCGUCGGCCUGUGGACUGAAGGGUCCCAGGUUCAAUUCCGGUCAAGGGCAUGUACCUUGGUUGUGGGUGCAUUUCCAGUGGGGGGUGUGCAGGAGGCAGCUGAUUGAUGUUUCUCUCUCAUCAAUGUUUCUAACUCUCAAUCCCUCUCCCUUCCUCUCUAUAAAAAAAUCAAUAAAAAUAUAUUUAAAAAAAAAGAUUGCCCAAAUAAUGGUUUACUACCUUGCUUUACCAUUCACCCCCUUUCUCUCCAAGUGUGUGUGCACACACGUGCACACACACACUUUUUUCCCUGGAAUAUAUGAGGGGAAGUUGCAGACAUAAUGCCUCUUUAAAGACUUCAGUGGUGUUUUUCUACAAAAACAAGAUUUGCUUGUAUAACCACAGUAUAAUGAUAAAAAUCAGGAAAUUAACAUAGAUUGUAUAGAUACAAUACUGUAAUCUAACCUUUAGACCUUAUUCAAAAUUUUUCCAUUGUCCCAUUAAUGUUAUUUCUCUGCCCAGCCUAGGGUCACAGUGCAUUUAGUUGUCUCUUUAGUUUCCACUGACCAGGAAGGUUCGGCAUUCAAAGAGGUCAUUUUUGCCACUCUGAUCAAGAGGCUUUCCAGAGCUAGAUUUUAUUCAGUAUAGAAAUAUACACUGUAUGAUUAUGGCAAAAAAAAAUAGAUAAAUAAGUAAGUAAAUUGAAUAUAAUAGAAUAAGAAUGGCCUGACCCGGAAUGUUAUUUAAUCAUAGGUCAUAAUGAGGAUGAUGGACAGAGAGAGACGGCCAUAGCCCAGACUCUUAGAAUAUUCCAGGGGUAACUACCCUGAAGGGAAGAGAUGAACAAGGAAGAGAGUGGCCUGUUCUUUAAAUAAAUUGUAUUGAAAUAGGAGAAGAAUGACUUUUGUACAACAGGCCCUCGAAUAAUGCCGUUUCGUUAAACAUAUUAUUGUAAUGUUGGUGAGAUGCCAUAGGAAGGAACUCUGGUUUAUAUCACUUAGCUGGUGGAAGCCCUGGUUUAUGAAGUGUACUUCCACUUAAAGUUGCAGAGCCUAGCUACAACGUUGAGGACUUCCCGUGCACUGUUACCAAUGUCUGUGGUUACAAAGCUCAGGGUUGUGCGCAUAUUCCCUCUGGCUUGGCUGGAGAGUUCCCCAGACAGGAACAUGGGCAUUUUGAUGGGCCUGUUCUAACUUGACAAGGCACCCCCCUUAAAAAGCAGGGCCCCUUAGAAAUUUGGGAACAGUGUGUGCCAUUUAAGACUGGGAAGACAGGGAGAAGAGUUGAAGAGGAUCAGGUUUAGGGAAGUGUGACUGGGGCAGGGGACAUGCUGAAUCUGCGGCCACCAACAUCUAAGUGGAGAUAGAUGUCCAGGACAUGGGUGGGGAAAAUGGUCUGUAGUUCAUGGGGAAAUCCUAGGCUAGAGGAGUACAUGGAAUUGAAAUCGGAAAACAGUGUGGAGUUUCCUCAAAAAACUAAACAUGGAACUGCCAUUUGACCCAGCCAUCCCACUUCUAGGAAUAUACCCUAAGAAACCCAAACACCCACCAGAAAGAAUGUAUGCACUCCUAUGUUCAUAGCAGCACAAUUGACAAUAGCUUAGAUCUGGAAGCAGCCCAAGUGCCCAUCAGCAGACGAGUGGCUAAAAAGGCUCUGGCACAUUUACAACAUGGAAUACUCUGCGGCUGUGACAGAGAAGGAUCUCUUACCCUUCGAGACAACAUGGAGGGACCUGGAGACUAUUAUGCUACGCAAAGUAAGCCAGUCAGAGAAAGACAAGUAUCAUAGGAUC